UCUCAUUGAUUUCUUUCACCCCUCUUUAUUUAAAACAUUAUUCCGUUCAAAGGUUUUUCAUUUACAAAUAGAGUUCACACAUUUUCACAGCUCACCACCGGUGUUGUUGAUGAGUGAAAUGUGUUAGUUCGGUUCACCAGGAAGCCUUAUUAACAUGAAAUACAGUAAGCUGGUGGAAUUACAGUAAGCUACAUUUAAAUGGUGGAAUACAGUAAGCUACAUUUAAAUGGUGGAAUACAGUAAGAACAUUUACAUGAUGGAAUACAGUAAGCUACAUGUACAUGAUGGAAUACAUAAGCUACAUUUACAUGAUGGAAUACAGUAAGCUACAUUUACAUGAUGGAAUACAGUAAGCUACAUUUACAUGAUGGAAUACAGUAAGCUAAAAUUUACAUGAUGGAAUUCUACAAUGUAGAAAAUAGUAAAAAUAAAGAAAAACCCUUGAAUGAGUCGGUGUUCUAAAACUUUUGACUGGUGGUGUGUAUACAUUGUAAUGACUUUUGACUGGAUACAUUGUAACGACUCUUUUGACUGGAUACAUUGUAAUGACUCUUUUGACUGGAUACAUUGUAACGACUCUUUUGACUGGAUACAUUGUAACGACUCUUUUGACUGGAUACAUUGUAACGACUCUUUUGACUGGAUACAUUGUAACGACUCUUUUGACUGGAUACAUUGUAACGACUCUUUUGACUGGAUACAUUGUAACGACUCUCGUGGGUGGAAGAAGGGGACCAAGGGGCAGCGUGGCAGGCGUUCAUGAUUUUUAAUAAAACUGAACACAAAAUAACAAAGUAGAAAAAACAAAAGCGCACAGUUCUGUCAGGCAAACAAAACAGCUAAACAGAAAAUAACUCCCCACACAAAACCCAAACGGAAAAUCACAACUUAAAUAUGAUCCCCAAAUCAGAGACAACGAUAGACAGCUGCCUCUGAUUGGGAACCACACAUGGCAAAAACAACAACAAAGAAAUAGAAAACAUAGAAACAGAAAACCUAGAAUGCCCACCUUAAUCACACCCUGAAACCUAACCAAAAAUAGAGGAUUAAAAGGCUCUCUAAGGUCAGGGCGUGACAUACAUCGUCAAAUACACUAGAUAGGUCGCAGUGAAACAUGUUGUUUUACAGGGUCAGACUUAGUACUACAGCACCCCUAGAGCAAAUGAGCGUUAAGUGCCUUGCUCAAGGGCACAUCGACAUCAUUUUUACCUUGUCGGCUACUACUACAUGCUAAUACUACUGCCACUACUACUGCAGCUACUACUACUAUUGCUGCUACUGCUACUACUACUACUGCUGCUACUACUACUGCUACUACUACUACUACUACUAUUAUUAAAACUACUACUACUAUUACUACUACUGCUACUACUAUUAAAACUACUACUACAAGUAUUCAAAUCAGUGACCUUUCAGUUAACCAGCCCAAUGCUCUAACCGCUAGGCGACCUGCAUUCCCUGUCAUCCAUCUGGAUCUUCCUGUGUAUCUUUGACUCUUUAGAAGAUGGAAGGCAAAAGGGGGUGGUAACCGUAACAACAGAGAACACUAUUGAAGUGCACCAUGAUUUCUGUUCAAAGACAAACUCUGCGUCUCUUCUCGCCCCUCUUGCUGGCAAUCCUAUUGUUUUGUUUUUUGAUGUGACCUCCUUUCUCCUUACUUCUCCCAAACGUUAAUGCAAAUGAGUUUAAUUUCACACGACGAAGGAAAAGUAAACUUUCUUUCCAGAGUUGUGUGUCUGGUUCCCUGUGGGGGGUUCCAGAGAGCUGCAGAAACUCUGCUCCAAUUCUGUCAUUGUCAAAGUUUUGACAUAAACUGGUUCUUCAGUCGCCCUUUGUUGAGUGAUGCAGCGAGCGUACCAGGGUCCCAAUUCCUUCCCCCGUUAAUUUUUUAAAGGAGAAAAUGGAAGACGUCUAUUCCUUAAAGGACUGCGUUGGGGAUGCUUAUGCACUAACUAUUGUAAUGUCCCGUUGUGAUGUCUCUUGUUAUGCCUCCUUAUCCGCGGGGGGGCCGCUACCUUUGGCACUGUACCGUCAAAAACCAAUGGCAGCUCUGAAAUCAUUUCAAUAGCCUCUAAGACGAGCCAAGAGAAUUCAGAUUCUUCACAGAA
ensembl:lncRNA